rnacentral:rRNA from 1 species
AGCCGCGGUAAUACGAAGGGACCUAGCGUAGUUCGGAAUUACUGGGCUUAAAGAGUUCGUAGGUGGUUGAAAAAGUUGGUGGUGAAAUCCCAGAGCUUAACUCUGGAACUGCCAUCAAAACUUUUCAGCUAGAGUAUGAUAGAGGAAAGCAGAAUUUCUAGUGUAGAGGUGAAAUUCGUAGAUAUUAGAAAGAAUACCAAUUGCGAAGGCAGCUUUCUGGAUCAUUACUGACACUGAGGAACGAAAGCAUGGGUAGCGAAGAGGAUUAGAUACCCUCGUAGUCCAUGCCGUAAACGAUGUGUGUUAGACGUUGGAAAUUUAUUUUCAGUGUCGCAGGGAAACCGAUAAACACACCGCCUGGGGAGUACGACCGCAAGGUUAAAACUCAAAUGAAUUGACGGGGACCCGCACAAGUAGUGGAGCAUGUGGUUUAAUUCGAAGAUACGCGCAGAACCUUACCAACACUUGACAUGUUCGUCGCGACUCUAAGAGAUUAGAGUUUUCGGUUCGGCCGGACGAAACACAGGUGCUGCAUGGCUGUCGUCAGCUCGUGUCGUGAGAUGUUGGGUUAAGUCCCGCAACGAGCGCAACCCUCACUUUUAGUUGCCAUCAUUAAGUUGGGCACUCUGAAAGAACUGCCAGUGAUAAGCUGGAGGAAGGUGGGGAUGACGUCAAGUCCUCAUGGCCCUUACGUGUUGGGCUACACACGUGCUACAAUGGCAUCUACAACAGGAAGCAAAACGGCAACGUUAAGCAAAUCCCGAAAAGAUGCCUCAGUUCGGAUUGCACUCUGCAACUCGAGUGCAUGAAGCUGGAAUUACUAGUAAUCGUGGAUCAGCGUGCCACGGUGAAUGCGUUCCCGGGUCUUGUACACACCGCCCGUCACACCAUGGGAGUUGGUUCUACCUUAAGGCAAGG